GAUCCUGGCUCAGGAUGAACGCUAGCGACAGGCUUAACACAUGCAAGUCGAGGGGCAGCAUGAACUUAGCUUGCUAAGUUUGAUGGCGACCGGCGCACGGGUGAGUAACGCGUAUGCAACUUACCUAUCAGAGGAGAAUAGCUCAUCGAAAGAUGAAUUAAUGCUCCAAUAAAACGACGGGGUCCCGCAGUGGGGAUAUUUAGUUAAAGAUUCAUCGCUGAUAGAUAGG
rnacentral:rRNA from 1 species